rnacentral:rRNA from 1 species
GGGAUGAGCUCAAGCUUAAAAUCUCCGUGCAAUUUUUGCGCGGCGAAUUGUAGUCUAUAGAAGCGUGGUCAGUAUGGGCACUUGGGUUAAGUUCCUUGGAAGAGGACAGCAUGGAGGGUGAUACUCCCGUUCAUUCCUAAGUUGCUUGUGCGUACGACCCGUUUUCUUUGAGUCGCGUUGUUUGAGAAUGCAGCGCAAAGUAGGUGGUAAAUUCCAUCUAAAGCUAAAUAUUGGUGCGAGACCGAUAGCAUACAAGUACCGUGAGGGAAAGAUGAAAAGAACUUUGAAAAUAGAGUUAAAGAGUACCUGAAACUGCUGAAAGGUAACCAAAUCGUUUCCAGUGUCUAUAAUCCGUGGUAUAUUUCAUUGACGAGCGUAUGCGUGCGUGUGCUGUUGCAGUGGCCUUUUGGCUGCGCUCGGCGUGUGUGCUGUGUGUGCUUGCUGGUGCCCUGUGCUAUGGUGGGACGUCAAGGUCAGUUCGUAUGCUGCGGGAAAUGGCCACUGAGGAGGUAGGGCUUACGCUUGCGUUUGUCUGUUAUAUCUUGGUGGACGAGUAGUCGCGGUUGGGACUGAGGUGCCUACAACGUGCUUUUGAGUGGAUUUGGAUCUCCGUGUGCGCCGUGUGCGGAUAGCUUGCUAUGCGUGUGUGGUUGUGUAUGGAUUGAUGCGAGUCGUAACUUGUAGCCGUUCGGGACGUUGACG